AGAACGAACGCUGGCGGCAGGCCUCAAACAUGCAAGUCUAGGGGUGUAGCAAUACACACCGGCGGACGGGUGCGUAACGCGUGGGAACAUACCUUUCGGUACGGAACAACCCAGGGAAACUUGGGCUAAUACCGUAUACGUCCUAACGGAGAAAGAUUUAUCGCCGAAGGAUUGGCCCGCGUUCGAUUAGCUAGUUGGUGGGGUAACGCUCACCAAGGCGACGAUCGAUAGCUGUUCUGAGAGGAAGAUCAGCCACACUGGGACUGAGACACGGCCCAGACUCCUACGGGAGGCAGCAGUUGGGAAUCUUGGACAAUGGGGGAAACCCUGAUCCAGCCAUGCCGCGUGAGUGAUGAAGGCCUUCGGGUUGUAAAACUCUUUCGACGGGGACGAUAAUGACGGUACCCGUAGAAGAAGCUCCGGCUAACUUCGCGCCAGCAGCCGC
rnacentral:rRNA from 1 species